AAGGUUAUACUUUUAUAAUUAGGUUAAUUGCGUAUAGGUCCCUAUAAAUAUAGUGAAUUACAAAUAUAUUCCUGUAAAGUUUAAUUUUUUUUUUUGAUAGAUAGAUAGUAUGCUACCCGCUUCGUUUAUUUUAUUUAGAAAUAAACUUAGCCGGAAAUGUGAAUCAACUAGGAUUCGAACUUGGGACCUUGGGUACCAACCAUUAAGCCCUUUGCCACUUGCUCUAGGAACAGUCGGUAAUUUCAUUUGUUAUCAUUACAAAAGUUCUAAUAUUUUCAAAUAUGUUCCUGUUGUUAGAUUCUGUCAGAAAAAUUUAGUUAAUCAUAGGUUAAACACUUAGGGCAUGUUUGGUUCAUCCAUUUUGGAUAUGGAAUGGGAAUCGGUUUGAUCAAAUCCGGUUAAUUUUGUUUGGUUCGUAGAAAUCGGUUUGGGAUUCCUAUUCCAGACUGGAAUGGGAAUGGCCCAUAAACUUUCAACUUGAUUCCGAUCUUUUAGACCGGAUUGAAAUUUCAUUUCCGAAGCCUACUAAGUUCUCGAGGCCCAUGCAACCAUCUCACUCUUCUUUCCUGUAUACAUAUAAUCUUUUCACCCCUCUCUCAUAAAAAAAAAAAACACUUAUCCUCUCUCAAAACCCUAUCCCUAACUCACAUCAAUAAAAGUUUUUAAAAAUAAAUUUAAUAUUUUUUUGGAAAAAUUAUUAGAGAAUAGUAUUAUAUUUUUCAUAAAUUUUAAAUAAUAUAAAAUUAUAUUUGAGAGUAAAAUUAGUAUUAUGAUAUUCUAUAAUUUUUUAGUUUAUACGAAUCAAACAAUGGAAUGUGAAUAACUCAUUUAAAUUUUCAAUCCACAAAUGAACCAAACGUCUUGGGGGAGUGAACCAAUCCAAUUACCAUUCCAAUUCAUUCCCAUUUCAUUAUCCAUUUCAAUUCCACCCUUGAGCCAAACAAGUCCUUAACCUUGAUUAAUUUAUGAGAUAACUUGAUAUUUUUAUCCUUCUUAUAUUAUACUGCUUUAACUUUUGUAGGGAUAUAUUUGUGUUGGCAAAAUUGAUAUUUUACUUAUUUAUUGUUAAAAUAUAAAUAAUUUUCUAAUAUUAACAAACCAAAAUAAUAUAUUUGAAAAUAUUAAAACUUUUGUAAGGACAGCACUAUAUUGUAAGAGAUCUAUAUAUAUUUAACUCGAUAUAGUGUAGAUUGGAUAAUAAAGGUAAAAUUUUGAAAGAUUGGAUAAUCAUCGAGAAAUCUAUAAUAGUCCAGAUAAAAUUUAUACUUCUUUAUCGUCCAAAAUAAAA
rnacentral:lncRNA from 1 species